CUGGAAAGCAUGCUACAAAUGGGACAAAACAAGAGGACCAGCAAGUAAUGCUACUCUACAAUAUAACUCAGCUGAUUAAACUGAUGAAAGGUUCUUGCCAAAGACAGCUGCUGGGAACUUCUGGGAAACCUCUUUAUUAACACUGUAUUAUGGGAACCUCUAAUGUAGGAGUGUUCCAGCUAAAAACAUGACCUUCCCAAUCAAGAUGGAAUUUUUUACUCUUUUUGUAGUCUAUAAACAUCAUCAGAAGCAAAAGCGAUAUUAACUUGUACUUGGCAAAACUGAAAAAAAAAAUUACAAAUAAUUGAGAAUUUAAACCUGAUAGCGUCCAACAGAACGCUACGUCCAAUGCAUCUACUUCCAACAGAAACCCUGCACCUCUUCAGGGCACACUGAGAAGAGCUCUAUCGCCACUUACUGGGCAGCUACAGAAGUCUGAGGUUUGGAAACAGCACAGGGAUGGUUGCAGAGCCCACUGCACAGACAGGCAACUCGUUUACACUGAGGACACAAGUCUGACAGAAGUUUUUCUCCCUGCGUUUAGCUCUCACAUGCCAUGUAUUUAAGGGCGUCAUACUUUACCUGCCCCUCAGCCAUUUCUAAAUUGUGUGGCCAGAGCCAAAGGCUUACCUUCCUCCCACAGUCAAAUAACACUGUAAUGACAAAUUGCUAUGUUCAAAAUACUAAGGUAGAACAUGUGAACUUAGGCUGGAUUUAAAACAGUGUAGGACUGUCAACACAAAUAACUGGAUUGGGGUUGCUCGUUUUGGUAUUGCUUUCAGUUGUCUUUUUUUUUUAACUCCAGUGUAUGUGGGCACAUCCACACUUGGGUGUCU